UUCAUACUCCCUCCAUCCCAUAUUAAGUGUCUCAAAUUUUUCCAAACAUGGAUGUGUCUAUAGCUAAAAAACGUCUAGAUAUAUGUAAUAUUUUGAUACUUAAUAUGGGAUGGAGGGAGUAUAUU
rfam:Brachypodium distachyon strain Bd21 chromosome 3, whole genome shotgun sequence.